UAAGUACUCCCUUCGUCCCAAAAUUCUUUUCUUAGAUUUGUCUAGAUAUGAAUUUUCUAGACAAACCUAAAACAAGAAUUUUGGGAUGGAGGGAGUAAUAA
rnacentral:pre_miRNA from 1 species